UAAUGGGGUGACUGCGUACCUUUUGUAUAAUGGGUCAGCGACUUAUAUUCUGUAGCAAGGUUAACCGAAUAGGGGAGCCGAAGGGAAACCGAGUCUUAACUGGGCGUUAAGUUGCAGGGUAUAGACCCGAAACCCGGUGAUCUAGCCAUGGGCAGGUUGAAGGUUGGGUAACACUAACUGGAGGACCGAACCGACUAAUGUUGAAAAAUUAGCGGAUGACUUGUGGCUGGGGGUGAAAGGCCAAUCAAACCGGGAGAUAGCUGGUUCUCCCCGAAAGCUAUUUAGGUAGCGCCUCGUGAAUUCAUCUCCGGGGGUAGAGCACUGUUUCGGCAAGGGGGUCAUCCCGACUUACCAACCCGAUGCAAACUGCGAAUACCGGAGAAUGUUAUCACGGGAGACACACGGCGGGUGCUAACGUCCGUCGUGAAGAGGGAAACAACCCAGACCGCCAGCUAAGGUCCCAAAGUCAUGGUUAAGUGGGAAACGAUGUGGGAAGGCCCAGACAGCCAGGAUGUUGGCUUAGAAGCAGCCAUCAUUUAAAGAAAGCGUAAUAGCUCACUGGUCGAGUCGGCCUGCGCGGAAGAUGUAACGGGGCUAAACCAUGCACCGAAGCUGCGGCAGCGACACUAUGUGUUGUUGGGUAGGGGAGCG
rnacentral:rRNA from 1 species